rnacentral:siRNA from 1 species
AUAAGCUUGCUUUUGGUUCAAC